UACGUAGGGUCCGAGCGUUGUCCGGAAUUAUUGGGCGUAAAGCGCACGUAGGCGGUCAUGUAAGUCAGGAGUGAAAGCCCUCGGCUUAACCGGGGAAGUGCUUUUGAAACUGCAUGACUUGAAUACUGGAGAGGGUCGCGGAAUUCCCGGUGUAGAGGUGAAAUUCGUAGAUAUCGGGAGGAACACCAGUGGCGAAGGCGGCAUCCUGGACCGAAAUUGACGCUGAGGCGCGAAAGCCAGGGGAGCAAACGGG
rnacentral:rRNA from 1 species